CCUACGGGAGGCUGCAGUGGGGAAUAUUGGGCAAUGGGCGCAAGCCGGACCCAGCAACGCCGCGUGAAGGAAGAAGGCUUUCGGGUUGUAAACUUCUUUUCUCAGGGACGAAGCAAGUGACGGUACCUGAGGAAUAAGCCACCGCUAACUACGGGCCAGCAGCCGCGGCAAUACGUAGGUGGCAAGCGUUAUCCGGAUUUACUGGGUGUAAAGGGCGUGUAGGCGGGACUGCAAGUCAGAUGUGAAAACCAUGGGCUCAACCUAUGGCCUGCAUUUGAAACUGUAGUUCUUGAGUACUGGAGAGGCAGGCGGAAUUCCUAGUGUAGCGGUGAAAUGCGUAGAUAUUAGGAGGAACACCAGUGGCGAAGGCGGUCUGCUGGACAGCAACUGACGCUGAGGCGCGAAAGCGUGGGGAGCAAACAGGAUUAGAUACCCCUGUAGUC
rnacentral:rRNA from 1 species